rnacentral:rRNA from 1 species
CCUACGGGAGGCAGCAGUGGGGAAUUUUGGACAAUGGGGGCAACCCUGAUCCAGCCAUGCCGCGUGCAGGAUGAAGGCCUUCGGGUUGUAAACUGCUUUUGUACGGAACGAAAAGCCUCUUCCUAAUACGCAGGGGUGAUGACGGUACCGUAAGAAUAAGCACCGGCUAASUACGUGCCAGCAGCCGCGGUAAU